GAUGAACGCUGGCGGCGUGCCUAAUACAUGCAAGUCGAGCGAACGGACGAGAAGCUUGCUUCUCUGAUGUUAGCGGCGGACGGGUGAGUAACACGUGGAUAACCUACCUAUAAGACUGGGAUAACUUCGGGAAACCGGAGCUAAUACCGGAUGAUAUUUUGAACCGCAUGGUUCAAAAGUGAAAGACGGUCUUGCUGUCACUUAUAGAUGGAUCCGCGCUGCAUUAGCUAGUUGGUAAGGUAACGGCUUACCAAGGCAACGAUGCAUAGCCGACCUGAGAGGGUGAUCGGCCACACUGGAACUGAGACACGGUCCAGACUCCUACGGGAGGCAGCAGUAGGGAAUCUUCCGCAAUGGGCGAAAGCCUGACGGAGCAACGCCGCGUGAGCGAUGAAGGUCUUCGGAUCGUAAAACUCUGUUAUUAGGGAAGAACAUAUAUGUAAGUAACUGUGCACAUCUUGACGGUACCUAAUCAGAAAGCCACGGCUAACUACGUG
rnacentral:rRNA from 1 species